CAACACUACAACAAAAUGGGCUAUAGGACACCAAUUUUGGGCACUCUUCUGAAUUGGUCUGUAUGUUGAAUAGUUUUGCACCGUUUAAUUUGAUCGGUGACUUGUAAUGAAGAUGCCACUGACAGUCGGUGGCCCAAUGCUCACAUUUGAUUAAAUUAUUCAUUAUUGGUAUGUUUGGUUACAAAUAUUUACGGGUUUGCCCCCAGUUUUCAUCCCUUGAUCAGCAAAAGCAUGGGUCUUCGUUUUUUGGUCAGAUGAAAAGAAUGGGUGAUGGCAGGAAAUCCAAAAUUUGUUCCAAAAUUAUCGUUUGUUUAUUGUGUAUUUGAAACCCACCCAAUAUCCACAACACACAGUCACUCGAUCACUUUACCAAAAAAUGACCUGGCUCUCUCGGAAUGAGAUUGGAAGGCUGAAUCUUCUCAGAGACGUCGUCCAUAUUUGGCCUCUAUAACCUCGGUCACCGGGGUGGACUCCUCUACAAACCACCAUCCGUUGCUGUGAUCAUGGCUAGAGGGCUGUUGAAGAUAUUGAUCUGAGCAUGAUGAUCUCAGAAUUUUCGGGGGUUUCCGACACCCAAGAGGUCUGAAAUUAUUGUAAGUUCCAAUUUUCAUUAGAUUACAGUGAUCAUGGCUAGAGGACUGUUGAAGAUAUCUAAGAUAUUAUUGUAAGUUCCAAUUUUCACUUUAUCCAACCUAAUUAAUUGAAUUCUGCUUGUAAUUUAUCAAUAAACCCUUGAUUUAGGUGGCUUACUGGAUAUGCUACCAAUUGAUCUUUGAAAAAUGGUCUCUUGUUAUUCAUAGUUGCUGACUGAGUAAGCAAAAGAAUCCUUUUUUAUAGUUUGAUUCUGAUUUAGUUAUGUAUUUGGGCACUACCUAAGAUUAGUACGGUGCUUCAAGACUUGGUUGCUUUCAAUUCUGUAAAGUAUCAUAUAUGUACUUACUAUUUGAUUUUUCUUAUCAAAAAUUUGGUUUUGUAGGAACAAUUAAGGUCUGAUAGUCAGUGUCAGGCAUAAACUUAAUGCUUUUUGCCUUUAUCAUGGUUCUUUUAGGUUUCUGCUGCAUUGUAAGUUAUGCAACAAUGGUAGUUCUGAUUUGGUAGUCAUGUUCUCUGUUUCAAUAUUUCACUCUUGGAUUCUAGGACUUUCUUUUUGUUUGCUUAUAUUAUUGUUCUUCUCUUCUUUAUCGCUAGCAUGUUGGUUAGUACGUUCUGUAUCCUAUCGUAUCUUUUCUUACAUGUUUUUGUGCUUCCAGUUUGUCAUCCUUAGUUUAUUUGGAUGGCUAGGUAUGUUUCAGUGGGAAGGUUUCAAAGUUCUUCUGACUUGAAGUCUUGACUAGUGAGCAUCUGUAAAUUAUGAGUGAUUUCUCUUUGUUACAAACCCAAAUGCAAUGCAUUUUAUAUUCAAAUAAAUACUACUUGUAUUAUAUUCCAUUAGUGUGAGAAACCAUACAAAAAGCAGUCUUCAUAGCUCUUUGUUUAUUGUACUUCCUGCAGCGAGUGAGAAACUAAUCAAGGAGAAGACAUGCUAUUACUUUAUUUUUGAAGUGGUGUAUCUCAGGAUUGUUACAUUUCAUUUGGGUUGGCAGGAUGAUUGCCGGUUCUCAUAACCUGAAUAUUUUCUUUUCAGUUAUUGAAGCAAAAUUUAAAGUAAAUUCCUUUCUUAUGAAUAUAUACUUUAGACUUUUGCAGUGAAAUAGCAUAACUUGUUAUAUUCUUUAUAUAGAAUCUAAAUGCUUGUUGAUGGUUCUUUUUAGUUUAUAUAUGAUAAAGUGGUAUGCCGUAACCUAUUUACAUUUGCGACUUCAAUGACAGGCCUUGUGGUAACUAUUUUCUUUUUCUUAUCUGGUUACUUUUGCCUGAUCUGUUCAACAAGGCUCUUCACCAUACUGGUUUUGGUUCUAUCAGCUCAUUGUAUUCCAUUGAAGAUAUGUCUCAGCCUCAUUAAUUAAUUCACUCCAUGUAAUUGAUUUUGUUGCUCAUAUCAUCGAGAAGGAAAUAUUGUUUCCAAUGCCAUUGACAUUUGCGGAUGGGAUCAAGGUGUUUUAGGAAUUUCUAAACAAGUAGCUGCAAGGUUAAGAAAGCUCCUAGCUGGGCGGAAGUUGAAGUGAUAAGACGAAUUGGAGAAGGAAAUACUGAAUGUUAGGGUUAACAUCAGAAGCUACAUGAGAGCUAAGCUAAGUAUUAUUGUUCUUCUUUCUGUUUUGAUUCCUUCAGAACACACAUGUUCCCUGAGAACUAAAUUAGGUAGCUUUGCUUUCUAUUCUUCUACAGUUUCAAGUAUGAAGAGGCAUCUUGACGAGAAGACGUCGGUCGACAUGUUAAACAAGUCAUUUUCCAUUGUGCAGUUAUGACAACUAUGGAAUACAAGCAAAGUCUCUCAUAAGUGUUUUUAGAGGUUUUUCAUUUGCUGUGUAAUUGCUGUAAUAUGAUUAUACAAUCCAAAACAUGGGGCAGGCCAGGGGAAAAAUGAAAAUUUAUAAAAUAAAUGCUUGAUUUUGGUGCCAAUUAAACUGGCGCAACAAA